rnacentral:rRNA from 1 species
AGAGCGAACGCUGGCGGCAUGCUUAACACAUGCAAGUCGCACGGGCAUAUUUCGGUAUGUCAGUGGCGGACGGGUGAGUAACGCGUAGGUAUCUAUCCUUGGGUGGGGGAUAACGCCGGGAAACUGGUGCUAAUACCGCAUGAUGACUUUGGUCCAAAGGCGCCGAUGUAAAUCGAUGUUCGCCUGGGGAGGAGCCUGCGUCCGAUUAGCUUGUUGGUGGGGUAAAGGCCUACCAAGGCUUCGAUCGGUAGCUGGUCUGAGAGGAUGAUCAGCCACAUUGGGACUGAGACACGGCCCAAACUCCUACGGGAGGCAGCAGUGGGGAAUAUUGGACAAUGGGCGCAAGCCUGAUCCAGCAAUGCCGCGUGGAUGAAGAAGGUUUUCGGAUUGUAAAGUCCUUUCGGCGGGGACGAUGAUGACGGUACCCGCAGAAGAAGCCCCGGCUAACUUCGCGCCAGCAGCCGCGGUAA